rnacentral:rRNA from 1 species
UACGUAGGGGGCAAGCGUUGUCCGGAUUUAUUGGGCGUAAAGCGCUCGCAGGUGGUUCGAUACGUCGUGCGUGAAAGACCCCGGCUCAACUGGGGAGUGUCGUGCGAUACGGUCGGACUGGAGGCCAGUAGGGGGAUGCGGAAUUCCGGGUGUAGUGGUGGAAUGCGUAGAGAUCCGGAGGAACACCAGCGGCGAAGGCGGCAUCCUGGACUGGCCCUGACACUCAUGAGCGAAAGCGUGGGGAGCGAUCCGG